rnacentral:rRNA from 1 species
AGCCUGAACGCUGGCGGCGUGGCUAAGACAUGCAAGUCGUACGGGGCCCGCAAGGGUCCAGUGGCGAACGGGUGAGUAAUGUAUCGCUAACGUACCCCUAUGUCCGGGAUAGCUUGGGGAAACUCAAGGUAAUACCGGGUGACAUCAUCUUCCCGCAUGGGAGGAUGCUCAAAGGGGAAACCGCAAAGGGAGCGGGCGAUAUCGUAUCAGCUAGUUGGUGAGGUAACGGCUCACCAAGGCAAUGACGCGUAGCCGGACUGAGAGGUCGGUCGGCCACAUUGGGACUGAGACACUGCCCAGACUCCUACGGGGGGCUGCAGUAACGAAUCUUCCGCAAUGCACGCAAGUGUGACGGAGCGACGCCGCGUGUGGGACGAAGUCCUUCGGGAUGUAAACCACUGUCAGGGGUUACCAAGUUCUGAGGAACCCCAGAGGAAGGCACGGCUAACUCUGUGCCAGCAGCCGC